GUCUACGGCCAUACCACCCUGAACGCGCCCGAUCUCGUCUGAUCUCGGAAGCUAAGCAGGGUCGGGCCUGGUUAGUACUUGGAUGGGAGAGUAGCUGGACCCAGGGACU
rnacentral:rRNA from 1 species